rnacentral:rRNA from 1 species
UACAGAGACUGCAAGCGUUAUUCGGAUUCACUGGGCGUAAAGGGUGCGCAGGUGGCCAAGUGUGUUAGGCGUGAAAGCCCGGGGCUUAACCCCGGAAUUGCACCUAAAACUACUUGGCUAGAGCAUUGGAGAGGGGAGCAGAAUUCACGGUGUAGCAGUGAAAUGCGUAGAUAUCGUGAGGAAUACCAGAGGCGAAGGCGGCUCCCUGGACAAUUGCUGACACUCAGGCACGAAAGCGUGGGGAGCAAAAGGGAUUAGAUACCCCUGUAGUCCACGCCCUAAACGGUGCACACUAGGUCUUGGCGGAUUCGACCCCACCAGGGCCCAAGCUAACGCGUUAAGUGUGCCGCCUGAGGACUACGGCCGCAAGGCUAAA